rnacentral:rRNA from 1 species
CACGUAGGCACCAAGCGUUAUCCGGAUUUAUUGGGCGUAAAGAGCUCGUAGGCGGUUCGGCAAGUCAGCUGUGAAAUCUCCACGCUCAACGUGGAGGGGUCAGCUGAUACUGCUGUGACUCGAGUCCGGUAGGGGAGUGUGGAAUUCCCGGUGUAGCGGUGAAAUGCGCAGAUAUCGGGAGGAACACCAGUAGCGAAGGCGGCACUCUGGGCCGGUACUGACGCUGAGGAGCGAAAGCGUGGGGAGCAAACAGG